rnacentral:rRNA from 1 species
CCUACGGGUGGCAGCAGUGAGGAAUAUUGGUCAAUGGACGAGAGUCUGAACCAGCCAAGUCGCGUGAAGGAUGACUGCACUAUGUGUUGUAAACUUCUUUUAUAAAGGAAUAAAACGAGGCACGUGUGCCUUUUUGCAUGUACUUUAUGACUAAGGAUCGGCUACCUCCGUGCCAGCAGCCGCGGUAAUACGGAGGAUCCGAGCGUUAUCCGGAUUUAUUGGGUUUAAAGGGAGCGGAGUUGGGUUGUUAAGUCAGUUGUGAAAGUUUGGGGCUCAACCGUAAAAUUGCAAUUGAGACUGGCAGGCUGGAGUACAGGUGAGGUAGGCGGAAUGCGUGGGGUAGCGGUGAAAUGCUUAGAUAUCACGAAGAACCCCGAUUGCGAAGGCAGCUUACUAAACUGUGACUGACAUUGAUGCUCGAAAGUGUGGGUAUCAAACAGGAUUAGAUACCCUUGUAGUC